ACGGGUGAGUAACACGUGAGCAACCUACCUUACACAGGGGGAUAGCCGUUGGAAACGACGAUUAAUACCGCAUGAGACCACAAAGCCACAUGGCUUAGGGGUAAAAGAUUUAUCGGUGUAAGAUGGGCUCGCGUCUGAUUAGCUAGUUGGAAGGGUAAAGGCCUACCAAGGCAACGAUCAGUAGCCGGUCUGAGAGGAUGAACGGCCACAUUGGAACUGAGACACGGUCCAAACUCCUACGGGAGGCAGCAGUGGGGAAUAUUGCACAAUGGGGGGAACCCUGAUGCAGCGACGCCGCGUGAGCGAAGAAGGUUUUCGAAUCGUAAAGCUCUGUCCUAUGAGAAGAUAAUGACGGUAUCAUAGGAGGAAGCCCCGGCUAAAUACGUGCCAGCAGCCGCGGUAAUACGUAUGGGGCGAGCGUUGUCCGGAAUUAUUGGGCGUAAAGGGUACGUAGGCGGCCUAUUAAGUCAGGUGUGAAAGCGUGAGGCUUAACCUCAUUAAGCACUUGAAACUGGAAGGCUUGAGUGAAGGAGAGGAAAGUGGAAUUCCUAGUGUAGCGGUGAAAUGCGUAGAUAUUAGGAGGAAUACCGGUGGCGAAGGCGACUUUCUGGACUUUUACUGACGCUCAGGUACGAAAGCGUGGGGAGCAAACAGGAUUAGAUACCCU
rnacentral:rRNA from 1 species